rnacentral:tRNA from 1 species
GUCUCAAUAGCUCAGUGGUUAGAGCACUGGCAAUGUACGCCAGAGGCCCCGAGUUCGAGUCCUGGUUGAGACU